rnacentral:rRNA from 1 species
CUACGGGCGGCAGCAGUCGAGAAUCUUUAGCAAUGCCCGAAAGGGUGACUAUGCGACGCCGCGUGAGUGAUGAAGGCCUUCGGGUUGUAAAGCUCUGUUAGGCGGGAUGAAUACCUAGAGUUAAAUAAGCUAUUAGGAAUGACAGUACCGCCAGAGGAAGCCACGGCUAACUCCGUGCCAGCAGCCGCGGUAAUACGGAGGUGGCAAGCGUUACUCGGAUUUACUGGGUGUAAAGGGUAUGUAGGUGGCCCUACAAGUCGAUCGUGAAAUCCCACAGCUCAACUGUGGAACUGCAGUCGAAACUGUAAGGCUUGAGUACAGGAGAGGAGAAUGGAAUUCCCGGGGUAACAGUGAAAUGUGUAGAUAUCGGGAGGAACACCAGUGGCGAAAGCGAUUCUCUGGUCUGAUACUGACACUGAAAUACGAAAGCUUGGGGAGCAAACAGGAUUAGAUACCCCCGUAGUC